UACGGGGGGGAGCAAGCGUUGUUCGGAUUUACUGGGCGUAAAGGGCGCGUAGGCGGCCCGCUAAGUCGAACGUGAAAUCCCCAGGCUCAACCUGGGAACUGCGUCCGAUACUGGCAGGCUUGAAUCCGGGAGAGGGAUGUGGAAUUCCAGGUGUAGCGGUGAAAUGCGUAGAUAUCUGGAGGAACACCGGUGGCGAAGGCAGCCUCCUGGGCCAGCACUGACGCUCAUGCACGAAAGCGUGGGGAGCAAACAGG
rnacentral:rRNA from 1 species